UACAGGGGGGGCAAGCGUUGUUCGGAAUUACUGGGCGUAAAGGGUUCGUAGGUGGCCACUUAAGUCAGACGUGAAAUCCCUCAGCUUAACUGGGGAACUGCGUCUGAUACUGAGUGGCUUGAGUGCAGGAGAGGAAUGCGGAAUUCCAGGUGUAGCGGUGAUAUGCGUAGAUAUGCGGAGGAACACCGAUGGCGAAGGCAAUCCCCUGGGCCUGUACUGACGCUCACGCACGAAAGCGUGGGGAGCAUACAGG
rnacentral:rRNA from 1 species